rnacentral:rRNA from 1 species
GAUGGUUCAUUCAAAUUUCUGCCCUAUCAACUUUCGAUGGUAGGAUAGUGGCCUACCAUGGUUUCAACGGGUAACGGGGAAUUAGGGUUCUAUUCCGGAGAGGGAGCCUGAGAAACGGCUACCACAUCCAAGGAAGGCAGCAGGCGCGCAAAUUACCCAAUCCCGACACGGGGAGGUAGUGACAAUAAAUACUGAUACAGGGUUCUUUUGGAUCUUGUAAUUGGAAUGAGUACAAUUUAAAUCCCUUAACGAGGAACAAUUGGAGGGCAAGUCUGGUGCCAGCAGCCGCGGUAAUUCCAGCUCCAAUAGCGUAUAUUAAAGUUGUUGCAGUUAAAAAGCUCGUAGUUGAACCUUGGGCCUGGCUGGCCGGUCCGCCUAACCGCGUGCACUGGUUCGGCCGGGUCUUUCCUUCUGGCUAACCUCAUGCCCUUUACUGGGUGUGCUGGGAAUCCAGGACUUUUACUUUGAAAAAAUUAGAGUGUUCAAAGCAGGCCUAAAGCUCGAAUACAUUAGCAUGGAAUAAUAGAA